rnacentral:rRNA from 1 species
GACAGAGGUGCCGAGCGUUAGGCGGAAUCACUGGGCUUAAAGCGUGUGUAGGCGGAUCGUUAAGUGCCUUGUGAAAUCCCACGGCUUAACUGUGGAACGGCUGGGCAUACUGGCGGUCUUGAGCCAUCUAGGGGCGACUGGAACAAACGGUGGAGCGGUGAAAUGCGUAGAUAUCGUUUUGGAACGCCAAUGGUGAAAAACAGGUCGCUGGGGGAUGAGCUGACGCUGAGACACGAAAGCCAGGGGGAGCAAAACGGGG